AACGAACGCUGGCGGCAUGCCUAACACAUGCAAGUCGAACGAAGGCUUCGGCCUUAGUGGCGCACGGGUGCGUAACGCGUGGGAAUCUGCCCCUCGGUUCGGAAUAACAGUUAGAAAUGACUGCUAAUACCGGAUGAUGACUUCGGUCCAAAGAUUUAUCGCCGAGGGAUGAGCCCGCGUAGGAUUAGGUAGUUGGUGGGGUAAAGGCCUACCAAGCCGACGAUCCUUAGCUGGUCUGAGAGGAUGAUCAGCCACACUGGGACUGAGACACGGCCCAGACUCCUACGGGAGGCAGCAGUGGGGAAUAUUGGACAAUGGGCGCAAGCCUGAUCCAGCAAUGCCGCGUGAGUGAUGAAGGCCUUAGGGUUGUAAAGCUCUUUUACCCGGGAUGAUAAUGACAGUACCGGGAGAAUAAGCUCCGGCUAACUCCGUGCCAGCCGCCGCCGUAA
rnacentral:rRNA from 1 species